rnacentral:rRNA from 1 species
CACAUAGGGGUGCGAGCGUUUGUCCGGAAUUAUUGGGCGUAAAGAGCUCGUAGGCGGUGUGUCGCGUCGCCCGUGAAAACCUGCAGCUUAACUGUGGGCGUGCGGUCGAUACGGGCAUCACUGGAGUUCGGCAGGGGAGACUGGAAUCCUGGUGUAGCGGUGAAAUGCGCAGAUAUCAGGAGGAACACCGGUGGCGAAGGCGGGUCUCUGGGGCCGAUACUGACGCUGAGGAGCGAAAGCGUGGGGAGCAAACAGG